rnacentral:rRNA from 1 species
GACGAACGCUGGCGGCGUGCUUAACACAUGCAAGUCGAACGAUGAAGAAGAGAAACGCGAACUUCGGUUCAAAUUUCACUUCGGAUUAGUGGCAGACGGGUGAGUAACGCGUGAGCAACCUACCUCUUACAAAGGGAUAGCCUCGGGAAACCGUGAUUAAUACCAUAUGACACAUUCAUAAGGCAUCUUAAGAAUGUUAAAGCUACGGCGGUAAGAGAUGGGCUCGCGUCCCAUUAGCUAGUUGGUGAGGUAACGGCCCACCAAGGCGACGAUGGGUAACCGGCCUGAGAGGGUGAACGGUCACAUUGGAACUGAGACACGGUCCAAACUCCUACGGGAGGCAGCAGUGGGGAAUAUUGCACAAUGGAGGGAACUCUGAUGCAGCGACGCCGCGUGAGCGAUGAAGGAAUUCGUUUCGUAAAACUCUGUUCUAUGGGAAGAAAAGGACUGUACCAUAGGAGAAAGCCCCGGCUAAAUACGUG